AGGAGGAGAUGGAGGCGACAGAAAAGAGAGCCUAAGAGGGACAAAGGCCAAGGCAGCAAACGCCGCCCGGGUGAAACCCACAGAGCAGGCGGCAGCCGCCGGGUUUGGCCUAACUCGGUUCCUGUGGCAUCAGGACUACACCAGCGUGGCUUUCCAUUGGGCAAAGGGAAGCAAAAGCCCUUCGCCGAUUGGGUCGGUUUUUUCCUAUUCCCUAGAAGGGCACAACUGCGGUUUUCUAUUGGACAGCGUUCUAAGAAGCACCCCACAAUUGGACAAGUAGAAAGUAUGGGCUGGACCACUUAAGAUUGGCCAAGUGGAGUUGCCGUGGCGAUGGCUUCUAGCCUCACUGGUUGGCGGGGCUGUGUCUCUGAGGUGAAAGGAAGAUUAGAAGGGAAGGUUGACUUGUGCAAAGAGGGGGCGGGACGAUCUGCAGGGGAGGUCAGGCCGGGGCUUGGGGUCGCUGCCGAAGAGCUAUGUGGAGGCAUCUGGCUGCUCCCAUCAGCAGGGAAACAGACUCGUGCGGGAGUUCAUGUGUCCUUAGCAUAAGGGGCCUACUCAGAAGUUGAAAAAGAAAUAUAUUUGGGCACCGGAAACAAUGUAGCUGUUUCAGCCUGAUUUCCACUUCUGCAAAAAAAAGAAGGGGUGUAUUCCGCGUGUCUCCUAAUUACUGCAAGAACAGAGUGUAUUGCACGCCUGAGAUUACUUAACGAAUUACUGUUAAGAUGCAACUACUACUAACGCUCAGAACAUAAAAGAGUUUGCUUGAUUAGAUUAGACCAAAGGUCAGUCUGGCUCAAGUCCUUGUUGCCUCUCCAAAACAGCUGGGCAAUUGAUUCGUGGGAUUCUCGUACCUGAGAUGUGAUGGAUGGUGAUGACAUCGAUCCCAUAAUUCUGUCUGUGGAUAUUGCAGAGUCACUGUGAACACAUCACUGUAGCAGAUUCUCAAAACACAGCUAGCCCAACAAGUGUACAGGGUUUGUUUGGGCCUUGGGGUGGCAAUAUUUAAGGCACCAGUGAAGCAACCCUAUGAAAUCCAAGGAGUGCAAGCCAGCAUAUUCUGCAACAUUACAAGGCAUUGUGCUGUGAAGCUGCUCAGAAUGACAAAAUGGACUGGGCUGGCCCCAAACCAGAUUGGCUAUAGGCACAGCUUUUUAAAAUGGAGGGUUGGAGCCCAAUCUCAUCUUGCAUCCAGGACAAAAAGGCAGGAAGGAAUUGUUGUAGCCAAGUCAGAGCUUUAACUUCAGAAAGCAGUAUGAGUUCUGAGCUUAGGAGCGGUUGUGUGACGGAGGACUAACAAAUUUGAAGACCUGCAGGCAUGUAAACAUAUGUUUAAGAGAUCCAUAAUUCAGUGACAAGAGGACUGAAGUGUAAAAUGUACAGUUUUUAUCAUUGCAUGCUUAGUUUCACCUGGAGGGGAUGAAACUGGAUUGUGGUGAGCUAGACAAAGGCGGCCGCUUAAUCCACUUCAACUCUUCACCCACCUAAUUUGUCAUCUGCUGUAUUAUUGGACUGCUGCCAUGGAGACACCAACAGCCCUCAAAGGCCUCUUCUUCCAAAAUAGCUAAUAAAACGGAACUGAGGAGGGGAGAAAAAAUGAGGAACAUCAUUGGAUUGGAAAGAGGGAGGGAAAACCAGGCACAGCCCUUGAAGGCAACAAAGAGGAAAAGCAAAGCAACAAAAGCAAAGAGUGAAAGAGGAGGCAGACUGUGCUUUCCUAAGGAAUACCCUAGCUAUCAAAGCAUGGUCUGUACAAGCACAAACAUACACCCACAGCUCUAUGAUACACUUGAUUAUUAUUUUUUAAAUGUUGGAUGUAGUGACCCCAGAAGAACAAUUAACAUUUGGCAUCAAUUUGGCUGAUAAUUUAUAGGAAGUAGAAAAUCUGAUUGAGCAGCCAUGUAACAAUCUAUUCAGGUUUCAUAGUGGCACAUCCUUUUAAAAUAACAAUUAAAAACCCUCCAAUGUGCCUAAAUUCUGUGUAUCUAAACGUUAGGUUAUUGUUAGUCAGGAGAUACUGGAAACACUUGUUUAGGCCCAGAAACCUUUAUGGUUUACUCUAAGGCUCAGUGGGGAGGAAGCAACAAACAUGCACAUUAUGGAAGAAUAGACAAAUAGACUUUGGAGUUAUCAGUGUAACGUAGCAAUGCCAUCCAUGCUUGCUUGGGAGUAAGACCUUUCGUUCUGAAGACUUUUAAAGUUUUGAGUUCUAGAGUAAGCCCCACUGAACUGAGUGGGACUUCUGAGUUUCCAUGCACUGUUAAGCAAUUUAGUAUGUGGCUUUUAAUUGCUGGUUGCCUUAUUUCUGUCUGGUUUUAUUCUGAUUUCGUAUCAUUUUUAUUAUAUAUCUUAAUAUGAUAUAUAAACCAAUUGAUUGAAGAGUAAGAUAUAAAUGUAGCAGAUAAGUUCUGUUGUGCCGUUUAGUGGGACUUACUUGUGAGGAUGCCUAGAAUUUAGCUGGAUUAUAUACAUCUGUACAGUAUUACUUCAUUCAAGCUAACUAUCAUCCAAUACAUAUGUGGGCUGUAGGGAUUGGAUAUGUAGAAUCUUGAGCACAUUGAGAGUCCUGUGUAGUUGUGCCUUCAAGUAUUACACUCUCUAUUUUCAUGCAGUAUUGUUUUAGUGUACGGAGGAAGAUCUAGGGUGCCAACAGGAUUUUCCACGCCCUCUGGAAAUGUGGAUUGGGCCCCCCACCCCAUCCGCAUCGGAGGAUAAUAAUACUGGCCUAUCUUGUAAGUCACUUGGGAUUACUAAAAUAUUGUGCAUGAAGCGCUCUGACAUGUACUGUAUAAAUCAUAAGUAAAAAAGAGUCACAUUUUUCAUAAAUAACUAUCUACUCAAA